GACGAACGCUGGCGGCGUGCUUAACACAUGCAAGUCGAACGGAAAGGCCCUGCUUUUGUGGGGUGCUCGAGUGGCGAACGGGUGAGUAACACGUGAGUAACCUGCCCUUGACUUUGGGAUAACUUCAGGAAACUGGGGCUAAUACCGGAUAGGAGCUCCUGCUGCAUGGUGGGGGUUGGAAAGUUUCGGCGGUUGGGGAUGGACUCGCGGCUUAUCAGCUUGUUGAUGGGGUAGUGGCUUACCAAGGCUUUGACGGGUAGCCGGCCUGAGAGGGUGACCGGCCACAUUGGGCCUGAGAUACGGCCCAGACUCCUACGGGAGGCAGCAGUGGGGAAUAUUGCACAAUGGGCGGAAGCCUGAUGCAGCAACGCCGCGUGCGGGAUGACGGCCUUCGGGUUGUAAACCGCUUUCGCCUGUGACGAAGCGUGAGUGACGGUAAUGGGUAAAGAAGCACCGGCUAACUACGUG
rnacentral:rRNA from 1 species